UACAGAGGUCUCAAGCGUUGUUCGGAUUCAUUGGGCGUAAAGGGUGCGUAGGCGGCGCGGUAAGUCGGGUGUGAAAUCUCGGAGCUUAACUCCGAAACUGCAUUCGAUACUGCCGUGCUUGAGGACUGGAGAGGAGACUGGAAUUUACGGUGUAGCGGUGAAAUGCGUAGAUAUCGUAAGGAAGACCAGUGGCGAAGGCGACUUUCUGGCCUGUUCUUGACGCUGAGGCGCGAAAGCUAGGGGAGCAAACGGG
rnacentral:rRNA from 1 species